AGCAGCAGCCGCGGGAAUACGAAGGGGGCUAGCGUUGUUCGGAUUUACUGGGCGUAAAGCGCACGUAGGCGGACUUUUAAGUCAGGGGUGAAAUCCCGGGGCUCAACCCCGGAACUGCCUUUGAUACUGGAAGUCUUGAGUAUGGUAGAGGUGAGUGGAAUUCCGAGUGUAGAGGUGAAAUUCGUAGAUAUUCGGAGGAACACCAGUGGCGAAGGCGGCUCACUGGACCAUUACUGACGCUGAGGUGCGAAAGCGUGGGGAGCAAACAGGAUUAGAUACCCCCGUAGUCCCUGUCUCUUAUAC
rnacentral:rRNA from 1 species